GAAACUGAUGAGCUCACCAAGGGGAAUAAUUUAGAAGGAGGAGAGAAGAGAGCUCAGGACAGAGCUUUGGGAGAAACUGGCAUUACCAUCAGUAGAGGAAACUUUCCCAUUGGGAAAAAGAAAAUUACUCUUCUGGGUCCCCACCAGCCAUAUGGUCCUGAGUGUAGAUAAUAAUCCUUGGUCCAAUCUUCCAUGGAACUAGCCGUCCCUCCUGUGGACUAACUGACGUUUCUGCCUAGAGAGCUACUCUCCUUAAGGACUCCCAUACUGGAUUGUUGAAGAGUCCUUGCUUGAGCCAUGUCUCGGCUUGAUGAUGAGUAUGAGGCAAAGUAUAUUCAUCCAAAGUUAACCAUCUCCAUCAGCUUCAGUGGGGUUUCUCCCCUCACCACUAGGGGGAGGUGUUACUUCUAUUUAUUUCUUCUUACUUUAGCAGACAAACUUCCUUCCUCGACAGAGCUGAACUAUACCCACAUCAUGUUCUUGUUCUCCCUGCAAGUGGCCUAAUUCUUGCACUAACAAUGAUGAAACAACUCUGGUCUACAAUUACGCUUCCACCUUCUGUUCCCGUGCCCUUUGCGGAAAGAAUGAGGAGUUCUGACAUCCUCUGAGACUCGAGAACAACCUCAUCAAUCGACAAGCAUUUAUGAAGUGUAUAUGGUGUUCCAGAUACUUUCCUGAGCACUGGGACUACAAAGAAGGACCAAGUGUGGCCCUGGGCAAGUUAUUUAAGCCCCAUUGCCCAGCCAUUACCACUCUUCUGCCUUGGAAUCAAUAUACAGUAUUGAGUCUCAGGUGGAAGGCAAGAGAAAGCAAAAACAAGAUCUCUGCCUUCAAGAAGCUCACAUUCUAUUGGGGGAGAUGAACAUGAGAUUAUUCCAUAAACCAGAGUAAAUGGGAAGUCAUGCCAAAGGGAAGGACUAUGAUUAAAGAAGACUCUUGAAAGAAACCGAGGAAGCAAAGAGGCAGUGGUGAGGAGAAAGUCUUGGAGCAUGUCCAGUGGAAGGUCGUGGGGUUGGGAGACAGACUAUAACACGAGAGGAGCAACAAGAAAGUCAAUGUCAGUGGGUCAAAGAGUCCAUAGAGCAGAGUAAAGUGGGAAGGACUGGAAAGGUAGGGAGAACCAAGGUUGAGAAGAACUUUCCAGACAAAGGAGGUGAUAUGGGGUCCUAGUCCUAGUAGGAAGCCAUUGGAGUUUAUUAAGUAGGAGAAUGACAUGGUCAAACCUAUGCGUUGGGAAACUCUCUUUGGCCACUAAGUGAAGGAUGGAUUGGAAUGGAGAGAGGUUUGAAGCAAGGCACACAAAGAAAAGGCAAUAACAAUAAUCCAGAUGAUGAGAAUUGAGGGACUGAACUAGGGGAGUGGUGUGUGAAGAGAGAAGAGGAUGGAUAUGAGCACCAUUGUGAAUGUAGACAUUGUACAGUUUGGCAAUGAUAUGUGGGGUGAGAAUGAGGAAUCAAGUAUGAAACAAAGGUUGUGGUGACUGGGAGAAUACCCUUCAUGAUAGUAGAAAACAGGGACAGGGAGUGAUUUGGGGGAAAGAAAGGGAUGUGACACAGAUGUAGGGAAGAGAGAGGAUCCAAGAAGAGAAGGUCAGCAAUAGUGUCAAAGUCUGCAAAGAGUCCAAGAAGCUUGAGAAUAAGCCAUCAGGCUUGACAACUCAGAGAUCAUUAGAGAGGGCAAUGUUCUAUAUGGACAUGUUGAGUUUUAAGAAAUCUGGAAUAUCUAGUCAGAUGUCUAAAAAGCAGCUGGUGAUGUGGCUCUGUAGCUGACAAAAGAGAAGAGGGUUAGAUGGGUGACUCAGUGAAUACAGAUCUGGACUUAGACUUCAAAGAUUUGAGUUCAAAUCCAACUUCAGACAUUUACUACUAUGUGACUCUGGAUAAGUCACUUAACCUCUCCCUCAGUUUUCUCAUCUAAAACAUGGGAAUAAUAAUGUUGUCUACUUUGAUUAGUUGUUGUGAGGCCCAAACAAAAUAUUUGUAAUGUUCUUUGCAAAUCUCUAAAACUUUAUAUAAAUACUAUCACUGUUGUUGGUAUUAUUAUUGUUUGGCUCUUGGAAUCAUAUGCAUAGAAAUGAUCAUUAAAAUCAUGGGAGCUGAUGAGAUCACCAAAAAAAGAUAAUAUAAAGGGAAAAGGGAAGAGGCCCCAAGACAGAGCCAGGGGGAUCAUUUGCUCCUCACAACAACUCUGGGAGACAUAGAUUUAUUGGGUUUAACAUGACGAUAUCUCAAGGGAGAGUGGGAAGAAAGGGUCCAAUAAGUAGGAGGAGAACCAAAAGAAAGGGAUGUGACACAGAUGUAGGGAAGAGAGAGGAUCCAAGAAGAGAAGGUCAGCAAUAGUGUUAAAGUCUGCAAAGAGUCCAAGAAGCCUGAGAAUAAGCCAUCAGGCUUGACAACUCAGAGAUCAUUAGAGAGGGCAAUGUCUGUCAAAAAAUGGGAUUACAAAUGAUUAAAUAAAGAAUCAGAAGAGUGGAAAUGGGGUUAUAGUAUAAGAGAGCCUUCUCAAGGUGGUUAGCCAAGAAAGAGAGGAGCAAUAAAGGAUAAUAGUUAUACACAGAGCAAUAACAAAAGCAGAGAAACAGAGCCAUAAGAGAAUCCAAGGUUAAAUAGCCCCACUAGGCAGAAGGCAAAAGAGGUGGCUAUGCUUGUGAGGGGACAACUUCAAAUUGAAAAAAAAAAAGGAAAGUUCAUUACCACUUGUGAUUCUUAUAGGAUUACAGGAUUCAUCUUUCUAUAGAAGAGAAUUGGAGAUCAUCUAAUCCAACCUUUUCAUUUUACACAGGAGAAAAUGACAUCAAGAAAAAUGAUUUGCUUGAGAUCUUACAGCUAUGUGCCUUUAUUUUUUCUUUUUCAAAGCAAUUUUUAUCUGAUGCCAUUUAUUACUAUGGCAUAUUCAUUUCUAAAUAUAUUCCUCCACUUUUGCCUAGCCAUCUCUUGUAGUAUUUUACUGAUCUCGUAUUUAAGUUUAAUUUAGGUUUUUUUCCCUAAUUAUAGGUAAAAUGAUGCAAACAUUUUAAGAAGAAUUUUGAAUCUCAAAUUCUCUCACUCUCUCUCCUCCCUCCCACUCCACAUUCUGUGAGAUGGUAAGCAACCUCAUGUAGGUGUUACAUAUUCAAUCAUACAAAACAUUUUUCCAUAUUAAUCUUUUUGUGGAAGGAAACAAACAGAAAUUUAAGAAAGAAAGUGAAAAAAGUUUACCUUGGUCUGGAUUCAGACUCUAUCAGUUCUUUCUCUGGACACAGAUGGCAUUUUUUAUCAAGUCUUUUGGGAUUGUUUUGUAUCAUAUUGCUGAGAAUAGAUGAUAUUCAUAGUUGCUCAUUGUACAGUAUUGCUAUCACUAUGUACAAUAUUCUUCUGGUUCUGCUCAUUUCACUCUACUUCAGUUAAUGUGACUCUUUUCAGGUUUUUCUGAGCUCCUCCUGCUUGCCAUUUCUUACAGAACAAUAGAAUUCCAUUACAGUCAUAUCCUAUAUCUUAUACAACCAUUCCCAAUUGAAGAGUAUCCCCUCACUUUCCAAUUCUUUGCCCUCAUAGAAAAAAAAACUGCUUUAAAAAUGUCUAUACAUACAGGUCCUUCCCUUUUUUGUUUUCUAUCUCUUUGGGAUACAAACCUAGUAUGUACUGUUUGAUAGUCCUCUGGGCAGAGGUCCAAAUAAUUCUCUCAAGUGGUUGAAUCAGCUCACAGUUCCCCCAAUAGUGCUUUGGUGUCUUAAUUUUUCCACAUCCCCUCCAAGAUUUGUCAUUUUUUUUUGUCAUAAUAGCUAAUCUGAUAAGUGUGGGGUGAUAACUCAGAGUUGUAUUAAUUUGCAUUUCUCUGAUAGUGAUUUAGAGCAUUUUUUAAUAUGACUUAGAGAUCAAUGCCAGGAUCCAAAAGGCCAGCCAGGCACUCUGGCGGCUACGCUCCACAGUCCUCCAACACAGCGGUGUAAGCACUGCGACGAAGCUCAAAGUGUACAACGCAGUGGUCCUCAGCUCGCUCCUGUACGGUUGUGAAACAUGGACACUGUACCGGAAGCACAUGAAACAGCUGGAGCAAUUCCACCAAUGCUCCCUCCGGUCAGUCAUGAGGAUCCGAUGGCAGGACCGAAUCACCAACCAGGAAGUCCUCGACAGAGCCAACUCCACCAGCAUCGAAGUCCUGGUCCUCAAAACCCAGUUACAAUGGUCUGGACACAUCAUCCGCAUGGACCCACAGCGAAUACCAAGACAGGUAUUCUACGGUGAACUGUCAGCUGGACUCAGGAAACAAGGCUGACCAAAGAAAAGAUUCAAGGAUCCGCUAAAGUCCAACUUGAAGUGGGCUGGCAUGACACCAAAGCAACUAGAACUUGCUGCCUCUAACAAGCAGCUGGCAAACCCACAUUCACCAGGCCGCCACCACCUUUGAAGAUGAGCGACGUUGACGUCUUGCCGCUGCUGGCGGGAACGCCGACACCAGGCCACAGCCGCACCUCCUGUAACAACUGGCGUCCCAGGCCCCAUGUGCCACAAAUUGUGCGCCUCAGCCUUUGGACUCCAAAGCCACAUGAGGGUACAACAAUAGAUGAUAAUGCACAAAGACAAUCGUCAUUCUCGGUCACCGAGAGACUACCACUACUACUUAACAUGACUAGAGAGCUUUAAUUACUUUGUUGGAGAACUGCCUGUUCAUAUCUUUUGACCACUUAUCAAUUGGGAAAUGACUUGUAUUCUUAUACAUUUUGAUUCAUGUUUUAUGUAUUUGAGAACUGAUGCCUUUAUUAGAGACUUGUUAUAAAAAUUUUUGCAACAUGAUUACUGUGUAUUACUCCUCAUCCUAUUUCCCCCUGUUUAGUUUCUGACCUCUGCCUCCUCCAAUUUGCUCUCUUUUCUAUCAGAUUUCUCCUUUUCCUUUUAUCCCCUUCCCUUCCUACUUUCCUGUAGAGUAAAAUAGAUUUCCAUAUCAAAUUGAUUGUUCAUGUUCUGCCCUCAUUGAGCCAUUUCCAAUGAAAGUGAGAUUCCCAUGUUCCCCUCUCUACCUUUCAUCUGUAAAUGUUCUUUCCUGCCUCUAUAAUAUAGCCCACUUUGCUUUUCCCUUCCCCCUUCUCCCAAUGCAUUCUUCUUUCUCAUGCCUUAAUUUUUUUUCAUAACAUCCUAUCAUAUUCAUCUUACAUCCUUGCCCUCUGUCUAUGCAUGCUCCUAACUACCCUAAUAAAGAUAAAAUUCUUGGGACUCACAAGAAUCAUCUUCUCAUGUAACAAUGUAAACAGUUUAAUCUUACUGAAAAUCUUUUGAUUUCUCUUUCCUGUUUAUCUUUACCAGGUUGCAGGUCCAAGAGCUGAAGAGGGAGGAGUGACAGCCACUUAAAUACAACCACACAAAACAGGGCAGGAAAAGGGAAUUUUGGGAAAUACUAAGGGACUUCUGGGGGAUGAAGUCCAAAGGCUCAAAAUCUCCAUUUAUACAGUAGCUUUCUUGAUUUUGUUUUUGAAAGACAAAAUUUUCAGUUAGCUCUAUUUUUUUCAUCAAAGUCCUCCAUUCCAUUAAAUAGCCAUUUCCCCCCUGAAUGAUUAUGCUCAGUUUUUCUGGGUAAGUAAUUCUUGGUUGAAGUCUUAGAUCCUUUGCCCUUUAGAAUAUUCUUUUCCAGCCCCUCUGAUCCUUUAACAUAAAAGCUGCUAAAUCUUUUGUUAUUCUAAUUGUGGCUCCACAAUAUUGAGAUUGUUUCUUUUUUGUCUGCAGGCAAUAUUUUCUCCUUAAGCUUGUAGUUCUGGAAUUUGGCUCCAAUAUUCCUGGGAGUUAUCCUUUUGGAAUAUCUUUUCGGAGAAUCCCCUUAUGAUUUGUGGCUGAAAGCUCCAGGAGCCUUGGCUGAUGAUUCAGGCACUCCCAACAUCUGUUGCUGUGGUAUAAUGUUACUUCACUAUCAGAGGCCUGCAGAAAUUGGCCCAUUCUCCUGCCCCAAAGUCAGAGAGAAGACUCAAAGUAAAUCUCUUUAGAACCACAUACCUCAAACAAUCCACAACCACGUUUCGGAUCAGGUCGGAGAAAUCAUAGUAUCAUCAGGCUCCAUUCUGGAGUUGGCCAGCUGAGAUGAAACUGAAAGGUUGGUACAGUUCUUGCCCCCUAAACAUAUCCCUUUCUACUUCACUUAGAAGUUUUGUGUGACUGCCAGAAAUAUCUUACUAGAAAAAUCAUUUCCUUUUCUGACAUGUAGAUCAAGGAAAGCUCUAAGUAUAGUUUGCUUCCAUUUUAUCAAACACUCGCCAAGGUCUUCUCUCAUGCUAUUCUUAUAGACAACAUAGAGAUGUGGACUAAAUGAUAGCACAUAGAUAUGUUCAGAACUGGUUAAAUGGCCAGACCCAGAGAAUAGUUAUUAAUGAUUCAAUUUUCAAUGUGAUAAGUUUCCAGUGGAACACCCUGGGAAUCUCUUCUCAGCUUUGUGCUGUUUCACAUUUUAAUCAAGGAUUUAGAUAAACGCAUAGAUCUCAUACUUAGCAAAUAUUCAGAUGACACAACUGGAAGGAACAACUGAAACACAGGACAAUAGAGUCAUGAUCCAAAAAAAGAUAUUGUUAGCGAGUGUACUAGAUGGAAUCAAAUGGAUUGGAAUCCAAUGGGAAUAAAUGGAAAGCCUUAUCUUUUGGUAAAAAAUAAAUCAACUUCACAUAAAGGAAGUUAUGAUUAGAUAGGAGUUUGUCUAAAAGAUCUGGGGGUGUUAUUGGAUAAUAUUCUCAAUAUGAGCUAUCAUGUAAUCUGACCAUCAGAAAAAACUCACAUAAUCUUGGGUUCCAACUUCUUGGGAGGGGAACGGGGAGGAACAAGAAGGAGAGGAGAAAGAAGAUUGUGAGAGUUAGAUUUGUGGAUG